rnacentral:rRNA from 1 species
UACGUAGGGUGCAAGCGUUAAUCGGAUUCAUUGGGUUUAAAGGGAGCGUAGGCGGACUUGUAAGUCAGUGGUGAAAUCUGUGGGCUUAACCCACAAACUGCCAUUGAUACUGCAGGUCUAGAGUACAGUUGCCGUUGGCGGAAUAUGACAUGUAGUGGUGAAAUACUUAGAUAUGUCAUAGAACACCGAUUGCGAAGGCAGCUAACGAAGCUGUAACUGACGCUGAGGCUCGAAAGUGCGGGGAUCAAACAGG